rnacentral:rRNA from 1 species
UUGGGGGGUUGGUUGAGUGGCGAACGGGUGAGUAACACGUGAGUAACCUGCCCUCUUCUUCUGGAUAACCGCAUGAAAGUGUGGCUAAUACGGGAUAUUCUGGUCUGCCUGCAUGGGUGGGUUGGGAAAGAUUCACUUUGGUGUUUUGGUGGGGGAUGGGCUCGCGGCCUAUCAGCUUGUUGGUGGGGUGAUGGCCUACCAAGGCGGUGACGGGUAGCCGGCCUGAGAGGGUGGGCGGUCACACUGGGACUGAGAUACGGCCCAGACUCCUACGGGAGGCAGCAGUGGGGGAUAUUGCACAAUGGGCGGAAGCCUGAUGCAGCGACGUCGCGUGAGGGAUGGAGGCCUUCGGGUUGUGAACCUCUUUCGCCAGUGAAGUAGGUCUGCUUCC